rnacentral:piRNA from 1 species
UGCCUAACAUUGGGCCUGUUGGUUCUGUAU